UGAGGAAUAUUGGUCAAUGGGCGAGAGCCUGAACCAGCCAAGUAGCGUGCAGGAUGACGGCCCUAUGGGUUGUAAACUGCUUUUAUGUGGGGAUAAAGUGCGUGACGUGUCAUGCAUUGCAGGUACCAGAUGAAUAAGGACCGGCUAAUUCCGUGCCAGCAGCCGCGGUAAUACGGAAGGUCCGGGCGUUAUCCGGAUUUAUUGGGUUUAAAGGGAGCGUAGGCUGUCUAUUAAGCGUGUUGUGAAAUAUACCGGCUCAACCGGUGGCUUGCAGCGCGAACUGGUCGACUUGAGUAUGCAGGAAGUAGGCGGAAUUCAUGGUGUAGCGGUGAAAUGCUUAGAUAUCAUGACGAACUCCGAUUGCGCAGGCAGCUUACUGUAGCAUAACUGACGCUGAUGCUCGAAAGUGCGGGUAUCAAACAGG
rnacentral:rRNA from 1 species